CCCUGUGCCGCCUCUGCCGAGCCAGAGCCACAGGUGCGCCUCCUAAACUAAGGUGUGCGCGGAAGGUAAGGGCGAGCACCUGGGCAGGGGGGCGUGCUUUCUCUUGGUCCUGCCUCGCUCUCCGAGGAGAGUGAGGCCCCCAACCCGGAAGGUGGUCCCCUGCGGUGGGCAGCGGAUCCGGGUCGCUUGAAACUGUCCCCGAAGGUACUGACGCUGCGUGGCCAGAUUCAGCAGUCCUUUCUCGGUCCUCCCGAGCUCUGUGGAGCCCAGCGACCUUCCUUUCCCGGCUUCUCCUUGCUGCCUCGGGUCCCCUUUUCCCUGGGCCCCUUCCUCUAUCAGCUGGCACAGCGAUUGGCCUGCAGCAGCGCACCUCCUCCAGCCCCCUUCGCCCCCGGCCCGCGGCUCCUCGUGGCUGGGCUGGGGAGGGGGCGUGGGAGCGGCGGGAGGGCGUGGCAUUCCAAGGUCUUCCCGAGCUGGCCCGUCUUCUUACUGCAGCCGAGCCUGGCUGUUCCGCCCCCAAGGCAUUGCUGCUCCGUCACCUUCCGUGUCUCCGCCUGCUCCGAGGAAAUGCCAUCUCCUGCAGGAAGCCUUCCUCCUUUCUUCUUCCCGCUAGCUGAUGCCUCCCCUCGGAGCUGCUCUGCGUCCCGUCAUUAGCCCAGCGCCUAGUGGGAGGGGGCGGCUGAGGUUCGGGCAGUUCCGGCAUGUCGAGGCUGGAGAGGGCUCUCGGCUCCAUUUGGCCCAGGCCCUCGGCCUUACUCGAAGUUGGCCGUCUGAGUUGGCCGCCUGGCUGCCUUGGGGCUCCCUGGCCGAUGUGGUCUGUACACGCAGUGGGCCUGCUCCCACUCCCCAACCCUGAGGCGGCUGUCUCAGCUCCCUCUCUUGCCUCCUGCCCGGCAGAAACUUGGCCCGCAUGUUUGGUGGCUCUCCCUGGUUGGACUGAGGCCUUCUGGCCCUUGCUGUGCCCCCAUGACGUGUCCAUUGGGAGCUUGUUGGAUUCCUGGUGGAAAAGCCUCUGUGAGCCGCUCCCUUAAAGAACAGGCCGAUCUCUUGGCUUGGGGCCCUGCCUGGCACUAUCCUGAAGGUCUUCCUUCCUCCAUUGCCCUUUAAAUGGAGCCCCAGAGUACAGAAGAUGCCCGUUUAAGCUGGGCCAGGAUGAAGGCUCCCAGCGCUCUUCCCUCCAGAGCUGUGGAACUUGAGCCCCUGGUACGUGCCCAGUAUGUGUGGCAGAUGGUCCUGGUGCCUCUUACUUCAUCGGAGAACACUCUGCCCAGCCAGCCUGUCCGGCGUAUUCCCUGCUUCUGGGUUCCUGUGCCCGGAAUCCCCAGCAUUCCCCCAUCCCCGCCAUCCCCACGCCUGGCCACAUGGACCUGUGAAAUGGUUUGGCGGCCGGAGCUCUUGUUCUUAGAGUGAGACAGACGAGACUUGGAAGUUCUUUCUACUGCCUUCCAGGCCAAGGAUUCUUUCCCUUUUGGUGCCUUUGGCCCCCUUAACAGGCACCCUGGGAAAGAUAACCACUCAAUUGGGAAUCAAGAUUUGAAGUAUUCCUCGAAGAUGAUGCCAAGCUUAUUUCCUGGCUGGAAAGGGAGAGAAAAGCCAAGAGAGGAGACUCGUCCUCAAAGCAGACAUCUUUAAGAAGUCGCACAGUACUCCUUUCCUUGAAAUGAGAGGGCAAAGUCUUUCCAUCGGGGUCAACGGUGGGACGCUUCAAAGACGUUGGGACUUCCCCAUUCACUUUGUGCCUUGCUGGGGAGGAAUGGAGGUCACUGGUGCCCCCACAAGUCUGAGCCACUCAAGCAAGAAUUUUGGAUCAAUUUUUCUUUCCCCUCCUGGGUUUUUGUGUCCCACAUGGAGCCAGCUUAUGUCCAGGUUGGGGAUUACUGGUCCAGCCCAUUCUUAGGACAUUCCAACAACGGAAAAGCUCAUUAUUUCAGCCUCUACUGAUUGAAAAUGUGUGAUAAUACCCAUACCUGAAUAAAAAUGGUUUUUUCUGAGCAAAAUAACUAAGCAGAACUAGGUGGGAAGGGUGUAGAAAGCUUAAAGUAUUUGAAAAGACAAACUUUUUGCAAGGUCUCUUCAAGUUCACAUAGAAAUGAUGGAUAUGCUCUUUCAUACACAGCCCAUUCUAUAGCAUUUUCCAUGAUUUGCAACCCUCACACAUAUUCUCUCCUUUCGAUAUUCCAGAAACCUUUGUGGAGGAUUCUGGAAAGAUGUACAAACCAAAGAAGCUGCUACAGAACAUAGGGCAAGUAACCCUAAAUACUAGACCCCAAAAAUCCAAGUGACUUAUCCAGGGUCAUUGAGCUCAGCCAUGACAGAAACAAGACAGUCUUUUGUGAGGCUUAGUCCAGUUCUUUUUCGAUUCUAAUAGCACAUAUCAGGCUCUCUAAGGACAUUUGCUGUUCUAAUUCCCAAUACUCCUGAACCACGAGAUGGACAUCCUAUGAACCUAACAGUAAGUUAAAGGCUGCUCCAUGUACCACAUAUUUAAUCUACAAAUGGCAAAAUGGAAGGGAAUAGUUUCUGGGAAUGUGCAGAGCAAUGUUGGCACUGAAGCUCCUUCUAGAAAGAACUGUAGCAAUCUUCAUAGUUUACAUCCAGUAAAGCCUACUUAAUGCUACGUCACAGUAUUUGGUUCAGUGAAACAUUUCAUUCACUUUCUUCCCCGUGCCCUGAGAAAUGACAGAGUAUCUACUGACUGGAGAGCUUGAGGUUUCCAGGAGAGUCUUGGAUUUUGAAAUCAUAUAAUCUAGAUUUACUGUGUCUUGGUGGGGGGGGGGGAGAGAGAGAUUCUGCAUAUAGCUAUACAAGGUAACAGUAACAGUCAUUUGAAUGUUGCCCCCUUGAUAAAGACUAAAGAAAAAUGGUGCUUCCAGAAAGCCACGAAGAAUUGCCAAAGCUUAUUCAGAGAAUUUCAUGGAAGCAUCGCACUUACAGUUAGAAGGGAUUUCAGAGCACAGCUUGUCCAAUCUCCCCCCAGAUCAGAAAUCCUAUCUAUGACAUUCCUUAAAAUGAGCAUCCAGCCUCCACUGCCAUUACCCUUCCUGGCUGCUCCAACAUGUCAACGCCUUCUCAAAAAUGUACCUCCCAGAACUGAACACAAUUCUUCAGAGAGUCCCACUAGGAUACUGGACACGAGGAUUCUCUCUUUCCUCACUCUGGAUCCUAAGCUUUUGCCAAUGUAACUCAUGUCACUGUAAUUCUUGUGGUUGCCAUCUCACACUACUCCUCUUAUUAAAAGCCCGAGGGAUAUAAGGACAUUCCCAAGAGAGAGGCAAAAAAGAGUAUUAGGAUGGACUCCACCUCCAAGUAAGGAACAAGCUAUUCCUGAAAAGUGUUGUGAUUUUAGUACAGAAAUCCCUAUGUUAACUAUGGCAAAGAGAGAAAAACAUUUUCGUUAUGUAAUUCUCUGUUGCUUACUAAGUCGAGUUCAAAUUCUUUUGCAUCUGGCAUUCAAGGCCUUUCACAACCUGACAGUAGCUCACUGUUGUGGCUUUAACCCCUGGUCAGUAUAUUAUUUUCAAGGCUGUAUGUUCACUCAAUGUAUCCUGUGCUCUCUUGCCACUAGACUUUGCCCAGAUGGCUUCCUAAUGUCCUACCUUCCCCUUCUCAUCUGGUGAAUUUCUAACAAUCUUUGAAAUCAAAGUUCAAUGGAGUUUCCUUCUCUCAUCUCUCUUCUGUUGAUUUUUGCUGUCCUUUUUCACCUUGACAGGGUCCUUUAUUUAUUCCCUUCUCCAAGCAAUGAUCAUGUAACAUCUUGGAUUUUAAUUUUUUCAAAUUGGGGGACGGGGCAGGGCAUUUCUCUACCUAUUUUACUGCAGACUCUAUAUGCACUGGAACCACUUCUCAUCUCAUCUUUUCAUCACUCCCAGUGACAAGUACAAGGACAUUAUGUUGAAUUAAUUUGCUGAAUGAAUUAACAAUCCCAGGACAGGCUGUGUAGCAUGGCAAUCAUUCCAUGGUUAUUAUAAUAGUCCAUAAGCCUGUCCCAAGCUCCUUCGGACCUCUAGGAGGCUGGAUCCCACCCAAAUCCUUUUCAAAGUCUUUUCCUUUGUGGGUCCCCAUUCCAUGAAGGAAAGUAACUGUUCUUUCACUAGAGUCAUUUUAUAUUAUGGAAUUCUGCCACAUUCAUUGUCCACAAAUUCAGCCAAAGAAAAAACAAAAAUAUGGCAGACAGCUUUGCCACAAAGACAUUCCAUGGAACCCUGUGGUAGGCAUAGUCAGAAAAAGGAAAAUGAAGCUAAACUGGCCCAUUUGAUUUGUUGAUUUCCAUAAGGGAGAUGGUCAAUGUUGCUCCAAUGAGACAAGAGCUCAUUAGAUAUCCAGGGUGAAAGGCAAAGAGUAACAAGGUAAACAGAAGCUGGGUGCAUAAAUGAAAUGUCAGAAAUGAUCAAACCCCUGACAAAAUCAAAUAUUUGUGCAUGGAAGAAACACAGAAAACCCAUGAUUUCUAUUAUCUAGAAAGAAUUGCAAGAUACUGAUAGUGGAGGGAGACAGAAAGAUGAACUGUGUCCAGAGAAAAUGGUUUCUAUUUACCGAAAUCACACAAAAUGAACAGGGCAUGCAUGCUGGAAAGGCAGCUUCCAAACCUGAGCCCUUCCUUUUUAAUUCUGUUUGUACUGACUCUUCACUUCAUGGCCCACUGCCCUUGACACCAUCAAUCUACUUGAAUUCUGCUGAUAAAAAUCCAUUAUAUAUUGAUGAAUUUAUAGGAGAAAGCCCUUAACAGAGCAGACCAAUGGAUUUAAUAAAAUCCCCCAGUGGCAAUGUCUAGGCGUCUGGUUAUACAUGGGCACUUGCAAAACCCUUUUGAAAAUCAUCAGUCUCACUCUCCCAAUUUAAGAGCCAGAGGGAUCUGUUGAGGUGGGCUGGGAAUUAGAGGAAAAAAAUCCCAUGUGAGCUCCGGAGUGAUAAUGCCUCCAAGCAAGUGGACUGCCAAACUCUUGCCAUUAAAAAAAACAACCACCUGCCUUCCAUCCAUUUCAAAUGGGUUGCUUCUUAAUUUCACUAAGUGCUUUCUCUAUACGUGGAGGAGGAAAUGCAUUAUUUUAGAAAAUGGCUCAAAUCAAAUAUGAAUUAUUUAUACAGGGACAAAUUGCUAUUACUUAACCUUAUAAUCAAGGGCUCUAAGCAUGCAGUAGCCCAGCACUGCCAGCAAGGAGGAAACUCAUCUGAUCAGCAUCUAUCCCAGGGUACCAUUUCCCUACAUCGACAAAGGUCAACUGAGCAAACACCCUUGGACUCAGGUAAUACCCUUUUCAAACCUAAGCUGUCAAGUGGAGGCCAUUCUACAGCAAAGUCCAAUCUCACUGAGAGCACAAAGAACAAGUAAGUAUUCACCAAAGCCCAUUGGAAGCUCGGAUUGAGAAACUCAAGUCACAAUCGAUUUAAGCAUGCUCAAGAAAAGACAAGCACACAUUGCAUCAUACUAUUUGACUUCUCUGAAAUACACAGCUUCAUCUUUACAGUUCGAAGGGCUGUAGACGUGUGUUUGUAAAGACUUUUCAUGACUCAGACCUUAAUAAAUCAUUUUAGAUGCUAAAAUCCCACUGCAAAUGGCCAGUAAAAUUGUUUGGGUUUCAGUCCUCCUAUAGCAGGGAAAGCUUCCCUUCUAAACUCAGAUCAAAUCUGCCACAAAGGGCAAAUUAUCCGAUAGAAAUCAGGCCUUUCUAACUGGUACGGAAUCUUUUGGUUCAAUUUCCUUUUCCUUUUGAGAUUAUUUUUUUAUCCUCGGAUAAGUAAAGGCACAAACAGAAUGGGAAACUGACUGUAUGUGGCUUGUUGACAGCCAAUCAGUCAGGCUACAGAAUGUAUAGGUUUGAAACAAACCUGUGGUUAUGACGAUUUCCCCUUCCUGCCAAAUUCUGCCAGCUGCCACCAUAUUUUCUGAGUAAGGACUGUCAUCUCUCCUCAUUUUGGAAAGCCAGCAGUGGUGUGAGCAAUUACAGUAGUUUGAAAUUCACACCAUCUGGACCUAUGAGCCCAGGACCCAUGGAAUGGAUUAGAGUGGAGGGGAAAAAUAAUUUAUGAGGAACUUGAUGUAUAUAUGAACAAGAAAAAGAAGAGUGAGGAAAUCCACAAAGUAAUUACUUCACUUAUUUCCCUAUCUUGCCUUUCCCUUAUUGAGAAAAAAUUGCACACAAUCCCCUCCAAUGACACUGACAAAUGACAUGGGUGAUGUGGAAACUGAGAGGGCAAAGAAGAACCAAACAGUGUAGCAGCAAGCUCCGAGAAUAUCUGGGAAGGCAUACAGAGUACCAAAACAAAAAUCAAUUGAGCAGAUGAAACAAGAAAAUAAUUCAUCUCCUUGUACACAGUGACCCUCCAUGGACAUCAGUUGGCUCCAAGAGCAUACAAACAAAAAUUAAAUGCUUAGUUGAAAUGACAGUGAAAAAUACAGAGGCCAGAAUGGGAACAAUCCAGAUGAAUGCUUCCUGACUCAGCAAGAGUUUGUUUAACCUUCUUAUGAUCAACAGCCCAAAUGGCCAGGCUUGUACACAAUGAAAAUUGGGAAAAAAUAUGACAUAAUCUAAUAGAAAAUGACAAACACCAACCAUGACCUGAACGUGUAGCCAGUGGCAAAAGUGGAAAGAAUCUACAUCAGGUAGCUAAUACCAGGCUACAUCAGGUCUAUGAAUUUCUUGUUGAGACUGAAGAGAUGGGACUUGCAAGUGCACAGGAAGGGUCAAGUACCACUUGAAACCAAUAAAAAUGACUUCAGUUAAUAAAAAGAUACAUGGCAAGCAAGAUAGGGCAACAGGUAAAUGGCCUUUGCUCAGGACUAAAAGUGAUCUGAUGAUGAUAUUUUAAGCAGCACUGGAUGAUCAGCACCCGUGAUCAAAAACCAAGAAGCCUUUCAGGAUGGCUGCAAAUCCUGUAUGUUCCAUCUAGCAUUUGUCCAGUGCCCGCCCCCAAGGAUGUGCUCCUGACCAGACAGAAGCAUCUGGGAUAGUUUCAUUACUGCAUUUGUUGUGUAUAUGAGGUCCGAGAUUGCUCAAUGAGGACAGAGAAGAAAUUAGCCAUUGAUUUGGUACUGUUUUAAUUAUUUGUUAAGCCUUAGAAGAGAGGAUUUCUCCCACUAUUUUAUGUUAUGCUUCUCACAGAAAGUCAGGCUACAAAUAUAUGGAUAUACACAUUUUUUCACAUAGCACAAAUAACAAAGGAAAAAACUCAGCU